AUUGAACGCUGGCGGCGUGCCUAACACAUGCAAGUCGAGCGGUAACAGGUGUAGCAAUACAUGCUGACGAGCGGCGGACGGGUGAGUAACGCUUGGGAAUCUGCCUGUUAGUGGGGGACAACCCGGGGAAACUCGGGCUAAUACCGCAUACGCACUACGGUGGAAAGCCGGGGACCGCAAGGCCUGGCGCUAACAGAUGAGCCCAAGUCGGAUUAGCUAGUUGGUAGGGUAACGGCCACCAAGGCGACGAUCCGUAACUGGUCUGAGAGGACGACCAGUCACACCGGAACUGAGACACGGUCCGGACUCCUACGGGAGGCAGCAGUGGGGAAUAUUGGACAAUGGCGAAAGCCUGAUCCAGCGACGCCGCGUGGGUGAAGAAGGCCUGCGGGUUGUAAAGCCCUUUCGGUGGGGAAGAAAAGCCUCGAGUUAACACCUCGGGGUCUUGACGUAACCCAUAGAAGAAGCACCGGCUAACUCUGUGCCAGCCGCCGCUGUAAG
rnacentral:rRNA from 1 species